CUGAUGCAGCGACGCCGCGUGAGCGAUGAAGGCCUUCGGGUCGUAAAGCUCUGUCCUAGGGGAAGAAGAAUGACGGUACCCUAGGAGGAAGCCCCGGCUAACUACGUGCCAGCAGCCGCGGUAA
rnacentral:rRNA from 1 species